rnacentral:sRNA from 1 species
UGCCCAACACUUAUUUUUAAGUAGUGGCAAUAAAACUCCCGACCAAGAUAUUAAGCUCCUCAUUGAGCACUCUUGGUCGGGUCAGUAGUAGGAAUACUGCUGGGUGGUCGCAAGACCGCC